AAGUGCUCGCUUUGCCUGGGAUUUGUACAGGCAGGUCACUGUGCCCUCCAUAAGGAGGUCACUAUCAUCAUCCUAGGCUGGUGCUGACCCACAAACUGCUACCUGCCCACAAUAGCAGAAAUUCACAAAUCAGGGUAAGUAUUCAGAAACUUUCAUAGCACUUUGACAGAGUAAUUUUAUGUAUGUUGAAUUUAAUAAUAAACAAUGCUGGCUUAUAUUUUUGUGUGUCUAUUUUGUUACUGUAAUUUUUUUACUGCAUUACUUUUUUCCAAUAUUUUAUUCAAGUUUUAUUUUAACUGAUGUUAUUUACAGCAUUUGAAGAGGAGGAUUUAAUUCCACACAAAAUGGAAGACCCUGAAGUGUACCUAUUAAACUGCUAAAAGAUAAACUGAGUGAUGAGAAUACAACAGAAGUCCAAUGUAGAUUCUGAGUAUCGUCACCAUGUGAUUACAAUCAUACAGACUCUUUCAAGCUUAGAGCUGGAGCUCCUGGAAGCUAUUUCGUACUCUAGUGCAAGAGCAAAAAACCACAACAUGAAAGGAAUUAAGUCCUGAAUUAUUGGCUUCAUUACAUCCACCAUUUCCACCCCAAAAUGACCCAAAAGAAACAGUGACCACACCCUGUAGGCCUUUUGGUGUAAAAGAGGUGAUGAACUGGGGCAAGAACAGGUCAUGAA
rnacentral:lncRNA from 10 species